rnacentral:rRNA from 1 species
AUACGGAGGAUGCAAGCGUUAUCCGGAUUUAUUGGGUUUAAAGGGUGCGUAGGCGGAUGAUUAAGCGUGAGGUGAAAUGCCACUGCUCAACAGUGGAACUGCCUCGUGAACUGGUUGUCUUGAAUGCUCCUGCCGUGGGAGGAAUGUGUGGUGUAGCGGUUAAAUGCAUAGAGAUCACACAGAACACCGAUUGCGAAGGCAUCUCACGAAGGGUUGAUUGACGCUGAGGCACGAAAGCGUGGGGAUCAAACAGGAUUAGAUACCCUGGUAGUCCACGCAGUAAACGAUGAUGGCUAACCGCUGGGCUUAUCAGUUCAGUGGCCAAGCGAAAGCGAUAAGCCAUCCACCUGGGGAGUACGACCGCAAGGUUGAAACUCAAAUGAAUUGGCGGGG